rnacentral:tRNA from 6 species
GGGCUCGUAGUUCAAUGGUAGAACGCUUCAUUUGCAAUGAAGAGGUUGGGGGUUCGAUUCCUCUCGGGUCCA